rnacentral:misc_RNA from 1 species
AGAGAGAGAGAGAGAGAGAUUUUUAAUUUUUAAGCAAUGUGGCAUGUGGGCUCCACAUUUAAUGAUAAAAAUGCCACAUGGCAUGCCACAUCAGCAGAACCAUAUUUUCCCCAAAUUCAAUUUCAAAUUUGGAUACAAUUUCUUCAACCUUUACAGAUUUGGUCAAUUGGGUCAAAAUUGAAACCAUUGGAUUAAAACGCAAAAAGUCGAAAAGGUUUGGAUUUGUAGUGUGAUUAGGCCAAUGUUUAAACUAUAACUUGAAAAUUGGAGUGAAACAAGUCACGCUGAUACCAAUGGUAAAUGCAUUACAAACAAGAAUUAGCUAUAGAACAAUUUCAUAAUUUAAUAUAACAUAAAAAGAUGUUUUAUGGUUAUCCAGUCAUGUGUUUGUUUUUAUUACUCUGUUCACAUCACAAAGGAUUCCACAGACCACAAAACUAUUGCUGGUUCACACAUGCAAGCAGAUAAACAUUAUACAACAGUC